rnacentral:rRNA from 1 species
UACGAAGGGGGCUAGCGUUGCUCGGAAUCACUGGGCGUAAAGGGUGCGUAGGCGGGUCUUUUAAGUCAGGGGUGAAAUCCUGGAGCUCAACUCCAGAACUGCCUUUGAUACUGAAGAUCUUGAGUUCGGGAGAGGUGAGUGGAACUGCGAGUGUAGAGGUGAAAAUUCGUAGAUAUUCGGAAGAACACCAGUGGCGAAGGCGGCUCACUGGCUCGGUACUGACGCUGAGGUGCGAAAGCGUGGGGAGCAAACAGG